rnacentral:rRNA from 1 species
AUUGAACGCUGGCGGCAUGCCUUACACAUGCAAGUCGAACGGCAGCACGGGAGCAAUCCUGGUGGCGAGUGGCGAACGGGUGAGUAAGUAUAUCGGAACGUGCCCGGUCGUGGGGAUAACGUAGCGAAAGCUACGCUAAUACCGCAUACGAUCUACGGAUGAAAGCGGGGGAUCGCAAGACCUCGCGCGAUUGGAGCGGCCGAUAUCAGAUUAGGUAGUUGGUGAGGUAAAGGCUCACCAAGCCGACGAUCUGUAGCUGGUCUGAGAGGACGACCAGCCACACUGGGACUGAGACACGGCCCAGACUCCUACGGGAGGCAGCAGUGGGAAUUUUGGACAAUGGCGCAAGCCUGAUCCAGCAAUGCCGCGUGCAGGAUGAAGGCCUUCGG